GACGAACGCUGGCGGCGUGCUUAACACAUGCAAGUCGAACGGACAGGCCCUUCUUUUGUUGGGUGCUCGAGUGGCUAACGUGUGAUUAACACGUGAGUAACCUGCCCUUGACUUUGGUAUAACUUCAGGAAACUGGGGCUAAUACCUGAUAGUAGCUCCUGCUGCAUGGUGGGGGUUGGAAAGUUUCGGCGGUUGGGGAUGGACUCGCGGCUUAUCAGCUUGUUGGUGGGGUAUUGGCUUACCACGGCUUUGACGGGUAGCCGGCCUGAGAGGGUGACCGGCCACAUUGGGAAUGAGAUACGGCCCAGACACCUACGGGAGGCAGCAGUGGGGAAUAUUGAACAAUGGGCGGAAGACUGAUGCAGCAACGACGCGUGCGGGAUGACGGCCUUGGGGUUGUAAACCGCUUAAGCCAGUGAAGAAGCGUGAGUGACGGUAAUGGGUAAAGAAGCACCGGCUAACUACGUG
rnacentral:rRNA from 1 species